UCAGCAAAGUACCAUCUAAAUAACGGGGUCCGUAAAUAACCGAGUCUUGGCCGGCAGACAAUCAAUUGACUUAUAUCAUGAACAUCGAUCAUUGCGGUUUGGAUUCAUCAAUAUACAUCAGCCAAGUCCAGUACACACUGUCCAAAAUAAAGUGAAUGUCAUCAGCAAAGUUAGUGAGUGAGUGAGUGAGUGAGUUUAGUUUUAC